rnacentral:rRNA from 1 species
UACGUAGGGUGCAAGCGUUAAUCGGAAUUACUGGGCGUAAAGCGUGCGCAGGCGGUUAUGUAAGACAGUUGUGAAAUCCCCGGGCUCAACCUGGGAACUGCAUCUGUGACUGCAUAGCUAGAGUACGGUAGAGGGGGAUGGAAUUCCGCGUGUAGCAGUGAAAUGCGUAGAUAUGCGGAGGAACACCGAUGGCGAAGGCAAUCCCCUGGACCUGUACUGACGCUCACGCACGAAAGCGUGGGGAGCAAACAGG